CUGACUGCCAGGCCUGUGCUCUUUCUAUUGGGCCAAGCCGCUUCCCCUCUGGGAACCUCUAAUGUCUUCUGUCCCAGCUGACGCGUUCCCUUUCCCUUUCAGUCCCUUCAGGCCUCCUCUUCAUCGGAAGAGAGGAAGACAAGGACUUCUCCAAGGGAGAAGAUGGAGAAGGGGCCGCAGCCAGGUUUUAGCCACGCGGAGUUCUCGGGAGCAGUUCAGAACCACAGGUGGCUAUGCCAUAAAAGUUAUCGGGGUAGUAGCCUCGUAGACGACGGAGCUGGAAUCCCUGCCUGCCUGUCGGAGUCUCUGACUAGACCUGAGAGUUUUCCAGUCAGGACUAGAGGUAUCCAAGAUGGCGGCUUGCCCACCUGUUUCCUCUUUGCCGCCUGACUUCUGACAAUCCUCUUCUGCCCUGAAAUCCCCCACCUGCUCUCCUGGGCUUUUCAUUCUGAUAAUUUGGGAGGACAAGGCUUAAAUUUCAGGGGGCUGCCAGGAAUGGGAUCCCCGCAUCCCCUGGGUUUGAGUCUGUCACCGGAGAAGCGGAGCCAGCUCACGACGGAGCCGCAGAGUCAGCCAGACGUCCGAAGCCGUCUCUGGAAGCCGAGUCGCGGAGGGAAACGUUCGCUUGCGUGCAGUGUGAAAGGACCUGUUAAUCACUCCUGACUCUUUUCAGUCAUUCCCACCCUCGGGCGUCAAAACCCUGGUGUCUGCUUCAUCUUCUCACUCAAGGGAUGAUGGCACGGUUCAUUUUUAAGACUUGCAAAGCGACUCGAUGCGAGUUCACGGAUGUGUUAGAGAAUUAUUCCCUGCCCGCAGCCUCGAGCCAUCUGCCUUUGCUCGUCCCAGGCCCACGGGGACCAGCCACCCCAAUUCUAAGCAAGACGGGGGGAAGGCCCCCGGCUGAAGAUGGCAGUUGACAGGGCCCAAGGAGAAAGCCACCCUAACGUUGAUGCCCGAUGACAGUUAGUCAAUGAAGAGAAGUGAAAAAAAACCCGGGUGGUACUGUCUACCUGUCGGAGCUCACCAGCACUAAAUUACAGAAUUAAUAGGCUUUUAGAAGAGACUGACACAUAGUUACUGUGAAAAAGACAAUUAAAUGUAGAAAGCCACUUUUCUCACUGCAUUUAAUUUUAACUGGAGGCUCUGAGACUCAAUAAAUCUUUUCCUUAUUUCU